rnacentral:lncRNA from 1 species
UUUUGGGUCAGAAUCUGUUCAUUCAGACGUUUCCAUUCAGAUUGAAUCAAGUGGGAAACAUGGUUCUGUGCGUCUUCAGCUGAAACGUGCUGGUGCUCAUUCAUGUAGCAGUCAAGGUAUGAUCCAUCAACUCCCUUUUCAUCUUUCUUCUGCAUUUUUUUCAAAUAUUUAGUUACUACAUCACGUGUUUACAGUAUAAUAAUACAAACACUUGUUUGCAUCCCUACCUUGGCUCCUUCAAGAUCAUCAGAUAGACGAAGAAUUUUUGCCACUGAAUAAAUAAUUUGUGGAAAGUUAUCCAUGACAGCAACACUCUCCAUAUUUAUAGAGUGAUCAAAGAGGAAGAAAGCAUGGAGAAGCACCACAUGCACUCCUGAGCUCACAAUUCCAUUGUUCAAGUACUCCUCUGAUCUCGGCAAAUCACCACCCUUCAACCAAUGUGCCUCUUCCAUGAAAGCAUUCAACAAUCGCACCCACUGUUUCAUAUAUACAAAUGCUUUUUUCCAUUUACUGCUACUUUCCAAAAAUUUCUGCUACUUAUUCAAGCAAAAUAAUUGAUGUGACACGCAUAUGAUGAAAACCCCCAAAUUAACAUAAAAUAAAUUGUCUUUUACCGAUCUUUUUAGGGUGUCUAUCGGGUUUAAUCCAUGUCUUUUGUAGACCUUUUCGGCGAAAUCAUUGGUAAUAUCGUAAAGAACACUAAGACACAUUUUCAUGAAGUCUGGAAGCUGCUCUGCACCACCCAAUUCCCAUCUGAAAUGACAGAAAUCAAUUAUUUGCUGUUAUAUCUCUUUUUGGACGAAUUUCUCAAUAGAAUAAAAUAAAGAGAUCAAAUAAAUUAUUUUUUCUUAUAAGUUAAAAUAAACUAGGUUCAUAAAUUGAAUUUGAAUUAUUAAAAAAAAUAAUUAUCUUUGACUAAUACUGUGUACAGCUAAGUCGUAUCAUUGAAUGAGAACAAAAUUCAAAUUAAAAGAAGAAAAAGGGAAAAUUAAUAGAUUAAGAAAACAAUAUGUAAAAAUAACGACAAAAGAAAAAUAAGACGAUUCAGUAAAAACAAAUACAUUAGUUAUGUAAAUAGUGUGUGAAAUAUACUUCUAAAAAAUAUUUUAUUAAAACGGGAAUGCUAGUUUCACACUAAUUCCAUCCACUUAAUGCUAAAAAAUUAUUAUUUUAUUAUAAUAUAAUAUAAUAUGUAUUUCUAAAAAUAUAGAAUGAUUAUUUUUUUCCUGUUAAAAUGUGAAUGAGACAUUAGAGUCUCAAUCAAAAAUUUUAUUCUCUUGAAAGAUGGGUGUAAAUCUCAACAUCAAAGUAUUGUGUAUUUUUUUGUCAACUAUUCUAGUCAUUUAUAGCAUAAAAUUAUAAAAGUAUGAAUGAUGAUAUGUUAACAUCAAUAAAAAAAAAUAUCCUUCACAAAUUAAUAAAAUAGUAUUUUAAAUAUUAUAAUAUUAUUAAAAUGUGGUGUGAAUUGUGCCAAAGAAAUCUUUUCUUAAAAUACGUUCCUUCUCUCUCUUCGAUGAUGAAUUUCUCAUCUUAUUUUGAACGAACUUCACGUUUUAUUUUCUUGUGAGCGUAGAGAUUAUUGCAUUUUGCACAAACUUCACAUUUUAUUUUCUUGUGAGCGUAGAAAUUAUUGCAAAAAAAAAAUAUUGUUUGUUAGAAAUCCAAGAAAAAGAAAAGUAAUUUAAAGAAGCUGAUUUUUCUGAUUUUUGUGAAGGAGGUUUACCUAUAGACAGCAUCUCUAAAUAAUGUAAGUUGGUCUAACGUCCCAUAAACGUCGAAGAUGUCAUCAAUAAUGUAGAUUAGAGAGAUGGAUUUGGUGAGUUCAAUCCUUUGGUCUGAAAAUCUUGGAUCUGUGAAGCAUGCCAUGGGCCAAAGGUACCAUUUCAGAGGUUCAUACAUACAGAACUUCUCCUCCCUCACCAUUCCAACAUCUUUCCACCAUCUGUUAAUGUUAAUGUUAAUGUAUAAAGGGUUAUUACUUUUGCUAAAAUCAACAUUCCAAGUGGGAUUAUGUAAUGAAACUUACUUAAGUGUUUCUGAUAAAAAAAAAUAAUGAAACUUACUUGUAAUGAAACUUACCUGUAAACUUGAAUGAUUUCAUUCUGGUUCAUCAUCCUAACUAUGCAGGAAUUUAUUUCAGCAAGUUUCUCUAUGCAUGUCCAUUCUUUCUUGGUCUUGUAAUCACUUAGAGCUAAACUUGUUGUGUCCCUGAAUCUUGAUAAGCCAUAAUGAAGUGGAUUCUGAAGAGUGUUAGCAACAUAUAUAGCUUCAUGAUGUUCUCUAUGUCUUUUCAGCCAUGAAUGAAGAAGUUGGCAGCAGAGGAAACCUGCAUCAUCAAGACUAUCUUCUCCUUCAAUACUUAGCUGGGCUGCCUCAUGCAGGGCAAUCAGACUCUUCACGUCUUCACCGUGUUUAGCUCUGAACUCUCUUUUAUUACUCUUCAAGCCCUCAAAUACAUCUGCACACCAUUAUAGUUGGUACCUUUAGUUAGCAUUUAGUAAAAAAUUCCUUCAACAAAAACAUAGCUCUGCUAAAAUAUCUGAACUUUAUCAACUUCAUAAAACCUAUGAAAUUCUUUAAUAUCUAAUCAAUGUAGUAUCUCCAACAUCUCCAAAAUGUGAAUUCUGUCUGUGAUUAUGCAUGUGCUAUUGAAGACUGCAAAUAUAUAUUAUGUUUGGUGAACAGUUUAUAAGAAGAGAGUGAAGAUAAUUUGAACCUGCGGGAACAUGAUAUCCUCUUUGUCUAAGUAAACGGAAUAAAAGUGCCAGUUCAUAAAGUUUAUGGUGAUUGGCAAAAUCACUGAUAUGACUGAUAAAUAUGGAACAUUGGUUCUGAAGAAGUGCUUCAAUUUCCUCUUGAAAAUGGUGUUCGAUGCCAAGCCUUUGGAUAAUGUCAAUGACAUAGAAACACUCCAUGUAAUCCUCGCUAACAAGUUUCUGGAAUGCUUGCUUAACUUCCUUCAAUACCAAAGCUUGUUCGAGAUAGAUAUCAUCCUGAAAAUGUGAAGAAAAGUGUCAAUAUCAGAAAAACUUGGUGGGGAAGAAUUAGAAUUUUGGUUUUACGCACAGACAAAUCCAUUCUUAAAAAUGGGUGUAGUGUUUGCCUUGGAGUCUUGUAAGUGUGAAGAAUAAACUUAAGUGACGAGUGUAUUUAUAGUGUAAAGAAGAGAAUCUUGGUUUGGUUUGUACUUACACAGUCAAUUAUCACAGCCUGGACUAUACUCAUAACAUUCACAAUUUUUUCAUUGCAUUAUUAUGUUCUAUAACAUGUUUAAAAGUUGGAAAACUUUUUCUUGAUACCACAAAUAUCACAAAGUAUACACUUUACAACUCCUUAUAAUAAUAUAAUAAUAUUUUAAAUUAAAAAUAAAAAAUAUUAAUUAAAAUAUUAAUUGAUUAAUAUGUUAGGAGUAUGUAUUGAUGGUGUUAAUAUCCUUAAAAGUUUCACCUCCCUUCAAAAUUAGAGUAAAAGAAUUUUAAAUACACUUUUUUCUCCUUUUAACUAUUUUUGUUACCGUCUUUUACAAAUUUACAAAGGUUAAGGAGUGAAAAACAAGUAAAUAAAGUAGAGAUUCCACAAUCGAGUCGUGUGGACCACUUAUCCGAACACUAAAUCCAAAUCGAUCUUAUAAUUUAGUUAAAUUACUAUUUUUUACCUUUUCUUUAUUUUGUUCUUCAUCUUAUUAAAUACUUAUUUUACUAUUUUAUGUUUUCAAUAUGAAACAAAAUUAUUAUUUCUCAAAGUUAUUAAGAAAAAUAAAUUAUUUUUUUUCCAAUCAUCUAUAAUUAUUCUAAAUAAAUUAAAUUAGAAUGCAUUGAAAAAAGCACUAUUAUAAAUAUCUCCGUUUACGUUACAUAAACAAUAUUAGUUCUCAAAUAAUAUACGUCACAUAAAAAAUGAGGUUGGUGACAAAUGAUCUCAUAAGCUCCCAUUUUGUGAUUUUUUUUAAUGUUGAAAAUUUAAAUAACCAACAACCCUCUUUUUGUUGGUUUAUAGUGUUAUGAAAAUCUGGUACGAGGUUGUAUUUUAAAGCAUGAUUACCUAGCAAUUUAAAAUUAUAUAUGUUCAUUUUGACAAGUUUUUACAAAAUUUACCACAAAAUGUAAAGAAAAAAUAUAUCAAGAAAUUCUUAAAUGCAUAAAAUCCUUAAAAUUCUUGUAAAUUUAUAUUAUUAUUUUUUAAGUGAUUUUUUAUUUUAUAAUUUUUUUAAAUUAAAAUUAAAAAAUUUAAAUAUAACAAUCUUUGAAAAUUUCUUUAAAAAAAUAUUUUUACACAAUAUGUUAAAAUUUUAAAAAAAAUCUUUUGUAUAAAUUUUGAAAAUCCAAAUGAAAUUCACCUCUUAAAUCAUUUCAAAAUUUGAUUGAUUAUUUGAACAUGAAUGGAGAGAUAAUAAAUUCUCAAAACCAAUUAUUCUUUUCAGAGGGUAGGGACAUUGUUUCAAUCAAACAACCCAUCUUUUGUCGUUUCUUGUUUUUUUUUUUCAAACCAUAAUAAUAUUUUGAUAUCUGCUUCAUUUUAUUUGUAAUAAUAUUUUUUAAUAAAAAUAUAAACAAAAUAUAAAAUAUUAAAAUAAUUUUUAAAAUUAAAAAAAAAAUAUUAAUAUUUAUUGGAGUGAUAUAAAAAAAUCAUUUUCCUUUUGCAAAUUAACUUUAGGUAUCUUAAAGUACAGAAAAUACUUUCAUCUAUUUUUGCGGACAGCAUCUUCCAUUUGAGGUUUUUUUUUAAUAAAAAUAUUAUUUUAUUAUAAAAUUCAUAUAAAUAUAGUUGAAAAAGUAUAAAUAGUACUCUUCCAUUCAAAAAUCAUGUCUAUAUAUAGAAUUCAUAUUAAAAUAAUAACUUUAUUAGUAAGAACAUAUUUAUAAAUUCUAUGAUAUGAUUUUGAUUGAACAUAACCAUGUGAACGGUUUUACUUUACAUAGUUUUGUUUGGUUUACUAUGUAUAUGUUACAUCAGAUGCAACCAACCCAUUUUGGCCACAGAACACAUUGGAAUAUCUUCCCCAUAACAAAAAAAAUCUUCAUUUACGAAUUAAGAAUAAAAAAAUAUUUUUCUUGGUCGUAUUAAAUACUAUGAAUAUAUAUGUUUCAUUAAUAAAUAUUGGAAAUAAAAUUCUAAAAUUCAUUAAAAUAAAGAUAAUUUUAGUAUAUUGGUAAUAUUAUUUAUAUAUGAUUAGUAAAAUGCCUUAUAUUAAAUUAGAGACAUAAAUCACUUUCAUGAGAGUUAACAUGAUACAAAAAAACCUUAGGUAAAAUAACAAUUAUUAAUAUAAAAUAUUUUAAUAAAAAUAUCUGUUUUUUAUGAAUAUUUUUAAAUUCAAAUAUAUAUAUAUAUAUAUAUUUUAAUCAUNNNNNNNNNNNNNNNNNNNNNNNNNNNNNNNNNNNNNNNNNNNNNNNNNNNNNNNNNNNNNNNNNNNNNNNNNNNNNNNNNNNNNNNNNNNNNNNNNNNNAAUUAGUUAGUGACAGACUAAAAAAAUUUAAAUUUCUAAAUUAGUUUAUAUUAUUGUUAAAUAGUUUAUAAAUUGAUAUCUAAUUAGUUACCAAGAUUUUAACUACCAAAUUUAUAAUCUAAAUAAGUGAUAGUUAAAAUCUUGGUAGCUAAUUAGAUACCAAUUUAUAAAUUAUUUAACAAUAAUAAAAACUAAUUUAGAAACCAAAAAUUAUUUUAGUCUCUUAAAUGGUUUUUAAUUUAGUCACUAUAGUAACUAAUUAUUUUUGCCUCUAAAAUUGGUUUCUAUUUAAUGAUUUUCUUGUAAAUAAAAAUUAAUAUACAAAAAUAUUUUCAUAUAUAAUUUUUUAAUAUUAUUAUUAUUAAUUAUAAUGUUAUUAUCAAUAUUAAUAUUAUGAUUUAUUAUUAAUAAAAAUAAUAAAAGUAAUAAUAAUAUUAAUAAUAGUAAUAUUAGUAUUAUUGAUAAUAAAUCAUAAUAUUAAUAUUGAUAUUAUUAUUAUUAUUAUUAUCAUAACAAUAAUAUAUAUAUAUAAAUUUACAUUCAAACAUUUUUUAGUAUAUAAUAUAAUUUAUAAAAUAGUUCAUAUAUAAUAAUACACAUUACAUACAAUUGAAUAUAAAUACUGAAUUUAUAGAUGGAUAAAUAUUCAGAUGUAAUACUGAAUUUUACAGUGAGAUUGAAUUUUUUUUAAUUCGCGUAUACAGGAAUUAUGACAUAUGUACGAAUUGUUUUGUUAAUACUACUUUUUUCACUGUUAUCUUUUACAUUAUUACUAUCCACUAUUUUACUUUAAUUAGUUUUUUUUUUCUAUUAUUUAGACUGAUUACUUUGGUUAUGAACUAAAAUAUGUCAUUUUAGAGCAUGUAUUGUAGUGAAGUAGUACAUAAUAUAUAUACAUGAAUAAUUUUUAAAUAAAAAUAAAAACUAAAUGUAAUGUAUUAGACGGUCUCAGCACCAGCAGUGUGAAGCAGUGUCAUGACAUGUUCUUGCAUUAUGGAGAGGUAUGGGUUAUUGGUAGUGUGAUACAUCAAAGGUACCAUUCUAGCACCAUUGAGGCAGAUAUUGGCAAAUGACGAUGACAACUGAUUUUGGGUCAGAAUCUGUUGGUUGAGACGUUUCCAUUCAGAUUGAAUCAAGUGGGAAACAUGGUUCUGUGCGUCUUCAGCUGAAACGUGCUGGUGCUCAUUCAUGUAACAAUCAAGGUAUGAUCCAUCAACUCCCUUCUCAUCUUUCUUCUGCAUUUUUUUCAAAUAUUUAGUUACUACAUCACGUGUUUACAGUAUAAUAAUACAAACACUUGUUUGCAUCCCUACCUUGGCUCCUUCCAGAUCAUCAGAUAGACGAAGAAUUUUUGCCACUGAAUAAAUAAUUUGGGGAAAGUUAUCCAUGACAGCAACACUCUCCAUAUUUAUAGACUGAUCCAAGAGGAAGAAAGCAUAGAGAAGCAACACAUGCACUCCUGAGCUCACAAUUCCAUUGUUCAAGUACUCCUCUGAUCUUGGCAAAUCACCACCCUUCAACCAAUGUGCCUCUUCCAUGAAAGCAUUCAACAAUCGCACCCACUGUUUCAUAAAUAUAAAUACUUCAUUUUUCCAUUUACUGCUACUUUCCAAAAAUUUCUGCUACUUAUUCAAGCAAAAUAAUUGAUGUGAUCAAAACCACCAAAUUAACAUAGAAUAAAUUGACUUUUACCGAUCUUUUUAGGGUGUCUAUAGGGUUUAAUCCAUGUUUUUUGUAGACCUCUUCGGCGAAAUCAUUGGUAGUGUCGUAAAGAACACUUAGACACAUUUUCAUAAAACCUGGAAGCUGCUCUGUACCACCCAAUUCCCAUCUGAAAUGACAGAAAUCUAUUCUUUGUGAGAAACCAAACAAAUGUAAAAAAUUAGCCAAUAUAAAUAUAUUGAAUCUAUAUAUAUAUAUAUAUAUAUAUAUAUAUAUUCAAUAUGUACCUAAUAAUAGCAUCUGUAAAUAAGGUAAGCUGGUCUAAUGUCCCAUAAGCAUCGAAAAUGUCAUCAACAAUAUAGAUGAGAGAGAUAAAUUUAGUGAGUUGAAUCCUUUGUUGUGAAAGGCAUGGAUUUGUGAGGCACGCCAUGGGCCACAUGUACCAUUUAAGGGGUUGGUAACUACGGAAUUUCUCCUCCUUCGCCAUUUCAAGGGUUUUCCACCAUCUGUUAUAAUUAUAAGGUGAAAAAGUUACUGAUUCGUAACUAUUUAAAUAAACAACGAAAAGUGAACACGUUGCUUCUAAAGGGAUUAAUAGCUAUGAAACUUACUUAUAAACUUCAGUGAUUUCUUUCUGGUUCAUUAAACUAACCACGCAGGAAUUGAUUUCAGCAAGUUCCUCCAAGCAGCCGAUCCAUUCAUUAUUGGUGUUGAACUGAAUUGGG